UGGGGAAUAUUGGACAAUGGGCGCAAGCCUGAUCCAGCCAUGCCGCGUGAACGAUGAAGGCCUUAGGGUUGUAAAGUUCUUUUGUCAGGGAAGAUAAUGACGGUACCUGAAGAAUAAGCACCGGCUAACUUCGUGCCAGCAGCCGCGGUAAUACGAAGGGUGCUAGCGUUGUUCGGAAUUACUGGGCGUAAAGCGUGCGCAGGCGGUUUGGUAAGACAGAUGUGAAAUCCCCGGGCUUAACCUGGGAACUGCAUUUGUGACUGCCAGACUAGAGUGUAGCAGAGGGGGGUAGAAUUCCACGUGUAGCAGUGAAAUGCGUAGAUAUGUGGAGGAAUACCGAUGGCGAAGGCAGCCCCCUGGGCUAACACUGACGCUCAUGCACGAAAGCGUGGGGAGCAAACAGGAUUAGAUACCCCCGUAGUCCCUGAGCGGGCUGGCAAGGCGCAU
rnacentral:rRNA from 1 species